UGGGGAAUCAUGGUCAAUGGGGGAAACCCUGACGCAGCAACGCCGCGUGAGUGAUGAAGGCCUUCGGGUCGUAAAGCUCUGUCAGAGGGGAAGAAAUGCAGUGGUGCUAAUAUCAUCUUUGCUUGACGGUACCCUCAAAGGAAGCACCGGCUAACUCCGUGCCAGCAGCCGCGGUAAUACGGAGGGUGCGAGCGUUGUUCGGAAUUAUUGGGCGUAAAGCGCGUGUAGGCGGUUUGGUAAGUCUGAUGUGAAAGCCCCGGGCUCAACCUGGGAAGGGCAUUGGAAACUGUCAGACUUGAAUACGGGAGAGGGUAGUGGAAUUCCUAGUGUAGGAGUGAAAUCCGUAGAUAUUAGGAGGAACACAGGUGGCGAAGGCGGCUACCUGGACCGAUAUUGACGCUGAGACGCGAAAGCGUGGGGAGCAAACA
rnacentral:rRNA from 1 species